UACGGAGGAUGCAAGCGUUAUCCGGAAUGGUUGGGCGUAAAGCGUCCGCAGGUGGCAAUGUAAGUCUGCUGUCAAAGCGUCUGGCUCAACCAGAUAAAGGCAGUGGAAACUACAUAGCUAGAGUAAGGUAGGGGUAGAGGGAAUUCCUGGUGUAGCGGUGAAAUGCGUAGAGAUUGGGAAGAACAUCAGUGGCGAAAGCGCUCUACUGGACCUUAUCUGACAUUGAGGGACGAAAGCUAGGGGAGCGAAUGGG
rnacentral:rRNA from 1 species